UGGGGAAUAUUGCGCAAUGGGCGGAAGCCUGACGCAGCGACGCCGCGUGCGGGAUGAAGGCCUUCGGGUUGUAAACCGCUUUCACCAGGGACGAAGCGAGAGUGACGGUACCUGGGGAAGAAGCGCCGGCUAACUACGUGCCAGCAGCCGCGGUAAUACGUAGGGCGCGAGCGUUGUCCGGAAUUAUUGGGCGUAAAGAGCUCGUAGGCGGCCGGUUGCGUCUGCUGUGAAAUCCCGGGGCUUAACCCCGGGCGUGCAGUGGAUACGGGCCGGCUGGAGGCAGGCAGGGGAGAAUGGAAUUCCCGGUGUAGCGGUGAAAUGCGCAGAUAUCGGGAGGAACACCGGUGGCGAAGGCGGUUCUCUGGGCCUGUACUGACGCUGAGGAGCGAAAGCGUGGGGAGCGAACAGGAUUAGAUACCCGCGUAGUCC
rnacentral:rRNA from 1 species